CAAUAACCUUCAGGGUGGGGCACACCACAGCCAACUAAGGGACAGAACAGUGAGCUCCUCUGCUUCCUACACUAGGCCCUGGAGAGAGCUGCUGGAGAAGCCCACCCUCCAGAUAUUUGAUACUGUGUUCCACCUUUUUAGCACCUUGUUGGACAUCUUCCCUGAAUGACCAGCUAGUUCUUUUUUAAAGAAGAGAGUCCAGAGAGAGAGAGAGAAUUUUUAAUAUUUAUUUUUUAGUUUUCGGCGGACACAACAUCUUUGUUUGUAUGUGGUGCUGAGGAUCGAACCCGGGCCGCACACAUGCCAGGCAAGCGUGCUACCACUUGAGCCACAUCCCCCGCCCGACCAACUGGUUCUUUAAACUUUGAUUCCUUGCCCAUGCCUCUGUGAAUCCACAACUCCUAAAGACAGGGGUCUCUUCUUUCUGCAGAGAACAACAUCACUGAGGAAAUAUCAGGAAACAUGCAUUUUACCUCUUUUGCUUUUUCCCCAUGAAUCAGUAAUUGAAUCCUGUGGAUCCUACCCCCAGGAUCGCCUCACCCCUCUGGUGCAGGCCUACCUGGGUCACCUUUCACCUGGAUGAUCUCAGCAGCUCCUGACUCUAUCCAGUUUCUCCUGCACUCCCUGGCCAGGGACACUUCUUUUCCUGCCUUGCUCACUGCCCUGCCUUCCUGUCCCUCCCUAACACUCCCUCCCCCAAAGCACACUAUCACUAGGAAGCUGGGGGAAAAACAGGUUGAAUACACACCUCACCUUUUACACUCAAAAAUUUUGGAUGGAUUAAAUACUUGAAUGGUUUUCUUUAAAGGAGAAAGAAAAAACAAUCUCAAAAGUCCAUGGAGAAAUUUGUGUCCAUAUCUCCAAAGAGGCUUUAUACAAGCCCUAGGAGUCAUAAAUGAAAAAGAUUGAGAAAUCUGCCUUACAUAAAAAUAAAAACCAUGUGUGCCCAAAGAGUGACAAAGUCAAAGGAGAGUCAAAUAAAGAGAGAGCAGAGGCACACACUUGGAAUCUGAGUGACUCCGGAGCCUGAGGCAAGAGGAUCAAAAGUUCCAGUCCAGGGCUGGGGUUGUGGCUCAGCAGUGGAGCGCUUGCCUAGCAUGUGUGAGGCACUGGUUUCCAUCCUCAGCGCCACAUAAAAAAUAAAUAAAUAAAAUAAAGGUAUUGCACCUAUCUACAACUAAAAAUUUAAAAAAUUCCAGUUCAGCCUCAACAACUUAGUAAGACACUAUCUCAAAAUGAAAGAUUAAAACUUGGCUGAGCCAGCAUGGUGGUGCACACCUAUAAUCUCAGCAGCUCGUGAGGCUGAGGCAGGAGGAUCUCAAGUUCAAAGUCAGCCUCAGCAACUUAGGCCCUCAGCAACUCAGAGAGACCCUGUCACUAAAUAAAAUACAAAAAGGGCUGGGGGUAUAGGUCUCAUUGGUUAAGUGCCCUGUGUUCAAUCUCUGGUACAAAAAAAAGAAAGAAAGAAACAAAUGAACAAAACUUGGCUGAGCUAAUAUUUUUCACCUAUGACUAUGAUCAGAUCCAAGUUUAAUCAUACCCAGUUGGUGGAGCUGUGUGGCAAUAGGCCUGCUAUUGACUGUGUUUAUGUCCAUACAUGAAUAUCAUCCAACUGUAAAAAAGACAAGGAGGCUUACUGCUGAUAUAAAAUCAUCUCAGAGAUAAAAUUGAUAAAAGAUCUAGAUGCAGGCAUGAUGGUGCACGCCUGUAAUCCCAGCAGCUCAGGAGGCUGAAGUAGGAGGACCGAGAGUUCAAAGUCAACCUCAGCAACUUAGGCUCCAAGCAACUUACCAAAACCAUGUCUCAAAAUAAAAUAGAUAGGGCGGGGUUGUGGCUCAGUGGUAGAGUGCUUGCCUAGUGCGAGCAAGGCCCCGGGUUCAAUCCUCAGCACCAGAAAAAAUAAAAAAAUAAAGGUAUUGACAACUACAACUAAAAAAUAU
rnacentral:lncRNA from 1 species